UUUACUACAUAUGAUAUUGGUGAUUACAGAUUCCAUACAGCCACACAAACAUAUAUCCAUCACGAUGAGUAAAAUAAUGAUUGCAAUAAAGCUAGAAAACUACCUAUCCUGUUUUUAACCAGGUUUAUUUACAAUAAACAUUGAGAUGAACACAUCAUAGCAUGCAUAUUUUACUACUGGAUGACCAUUUGCAGUUUCAGACACAAUCUUAACCACAUUACUGACUACUACUUCAAG
rnacentral:misc_RNA from 1 species